rnacentral:lncRNA from 1 species
AGUAUAGUAUGAUAUUGAUGAUCGGGGUUAACAAUUUCGUUUAGGCUAGGCUUAUAAAUAUGUUCUUUUGGCACUAUACUGUUUCAUUUCGAGAUUUGGAUUCAAAAUCUGCAUGAAUAGUAGUUUGUGGAUCCAGAACAUAAGUUUGAGUCUAAUUUGCAUUAUGAAUCUAAUAGUGGAUGCAUGUCCGUGCUUUCAGGGAAGUUGGAUUUAAUUUAUUUUUAGUUCAAAUGGUUCAAACAAUGAGUCAUAAUUUAAAAACUGUCAAUGUAUGUGUUGAUCUAUAUGACUUGCUCAUAUUUGUUGGUAAAAAUCCAAGAAGGAAAUAAAUUUCACACAAUAAGUUAUUCAGUAGCCUUAAUUAAAAUCGAG